CAGUAGCCACGGGAAUACGUAGGUGGCAAGCGUUGUCCGGAAUUAUUGGGCGUAAAGGGCUCGCAGGCGGUUUCUUAAGUCUGAUGUGAAAGCCCCCGGCUCAACCGGGGAGGGUCAUUGGAAACUGGGAAACUUGAGUGCAGAAGAGGAGAGUGGAAUUCCACGUGUAGCGGUGAAAUGCGUAGAGAUGUGGAGGAACACCAGUGGCGAAGGCGACUCUCUGGUCUGUAACGGACGCUGAGGAGCGAAAGCGUGGGGAGCGAACAGGAUUAGAUACCCCCGUAGUCCCUGUCUCUUAUAC
rnacentral:rRNA from 1 species